UCAUUUUCCAAAUUACGAUGAUGUUAUUGGUUCGUGAUUUUGAAAGAGUUUUUAGUGAAUUUUAAAAAGUAUUAGACGGUACAUGUGCUACGCACAAUAUUCAUGCUUUAAUUAGUUUAUCAGUUUCACUUCUUUAUAUAUAUUACGAAUUUCAGGUAUUUUAUUUGUCUAUAAAUGUUUAUUUGUAUAAUUUAU
rnacentral:sRNA from 1 species